rnacentral:lncRNA from 1 species
UGAAAAUAAACUUUAGCUCGAGGAAAGCAAAAGAAAGUGCCAACGUGAUGCCAAUAAUUUUCGUAUCCGUUUGAACCAGUAACAUUAAACUUACACAUACAUAAAGAAAGAAUUCUUCGAUCAUAAACCAAUUUCUCACAUUGAACAAUUAAAACACAAAAGACAAACAAAUAUAUAACUCAAGAUACUCAUUUUAACAUGCCGGUUCAGAGAUAAACAGUGAUAUCCAUAAACCAAAAAUUUAGCAUGAUAUUUAAGAGUAACAUCAUAUCCCUACACAUAAAAUACAAAGAAAAUAUAGGAACAAGAGACAGAAGAACCUUUUUAUUAAACUGAAUUUGAACUUUGUUUGUUGGACAACUAUAAACUUAAAAAGCGACCGAGCCACGAACAAACACCUCAAUCGGAGAACUCAUCGGCGACAAAAAUUGAUGUCCUCGAACAGACUAAUUUCUACUGGGUUUGGAUGAUGGUUUCAAACUGAUUUUUCAACUUGUUUAUGAUAUUUUUUGGGUCGAUAUUUUUUGGGUGGGCUUGUAGGAAUUGGGGAAUGAGGGGAAACGGGUACUUGGGAAGUGUUCAUGUGAGUUCGCUGCUCUCUGUCCCUACCCGUAUAUGUGUGUGCCCCUUUAAUUUCGAGAGAAAGAAGAUGAUCAAUAUCCAAGGGGAAUGGCCACUGGAUUCUUUUAAAAUUAAGAACAAGAAGAAGAAUGUUAGCGAUUUUGGAAAUACAGUAGGAAAAUGGAAUUAGAAACAGGGAUUGACUUACUAGAAUUUAUUUGGUGAAGACGACUAAUUUUUGAGAUUCUUUCAAUUUUGGAAAUAGGUUCAACAGAGAUCUGUAUGCGACUAAUUGCUUCUCUUUUGAGUGUAGGGGUCUGUUGUUUUCUUCAACAUUUUUGCUUUGGGAAAGGGAAUGAACAAGAACCGAUGGGGUCAUUUUGGGGUCAUUUUCGAUGAAAAAUAUCCGCCGCAGCUUUUUUUUGGUCCUC